rnacentral:rRNA from 1 species
GACGUGUAAUUUCAAAAUGUAUGACCAAGUGGCAUGCAAAUGGAAGCUCAUUGAAAGACUGUAUCAAAGAGGGUGAAAAUCCUUAUUUUCCACUUGCAUUGCUAUUGUUAUGGUGUAUGCUUCAUGAGUCACAUUCCUUGGCAUUGGAAUGCCACAUGUGUGGUAAAUUUCAUACAAAGAUCAAUAUGUGGUUGAGAUUGAUAGAACACAAGUACCAUGAGGGAAAUAUGAAAAGGACUUUGAAAAGAGAUUUAAAAGAGUUUGCAGUUGCUGAACAAAAAACAAAUGGGAUGUCCUGUAUUGAACAGAUUGUUGUGCCAUGCAUUGUAUCAGUGCAACCAUGUGUGUAAUCAAUGAGUCUUGUCUUUGAGUGCCAUGCCAAGUUUAGGUAAUCUUGACCGAUGCAUAUGUGUGCUGGUGUGCUUGUGAAUGCAUGAAAGUGUAUGAUUGACCUUGGUUUUCUAAAUG